rnacentral:tRNA from 1 species
GUUUUAAUAAUUUAAAUAAAAUACUGAUCUUGUAAAUCAGAAAUAAGAUUAAUUCUUUUAAAACU